rnacentral:rRNA from 1 species
UACAGAGGGUGCGAGCGUUAAUCGGAAUUACUGGGCGUAAAGAGCGCGCAGGCGGUCGAUCAAGUCGAGUGUGAAAGCCCCCGGCUCAACUGGGGAGGGUCAUUCGAUACUGAUCGACUCGAAGGCAGGAGAGGGUAGUGGAAUUCCCGGUGUAGUGGUGAAAUGCGUAGAUAUCUGGAGGAAUACCGGUGGCGAAGGCGGCAUCCUGGACCGACAUUGACGCUGAUGAGCGAAAGCUAGGGGAGCAAACGGG